GAGGUGACGUUUCGGAUGCACUGGGUCAUAUUGAAACUGUGUCAAAUCUUCUCGUCACUUCAAAGUGAAGGAAAAGACUUGAAUAUCGGUAUUACAACUAAAGCAUCGUAAAUUGAAAGAAUCUGCUCACUGCAAGAGGACAACUGCUGACAGUUUGUGAUGACCUGAGUGAGAGAAACCCGUCCCUGACUCAAGUCACUUCCUCUCCCACUGGCCGCUCCGUCAAGGCAGAAAACAUACAAAUGAAGGUGUAUCCAGUUCACACACUUGCGGUUAGACUUUCUAACGUUAUUCUAUAAUCCAGAAAAUUCAAAAUCCAGGAAUGCCUUGGUCCCAAGUAUUCCAGACUGGAGAGAUUACAGUGUACUAAACAGUUGACAUGAAGCUGGGUGGUAGAGACAAGAAGAAGAUGUUGAUGAGAACUUGGACAACUCAGCAGAUGCUAUCAUCCCAAUCAGCCUGAUAGAUGACAACAGUUGACGAGCCAUAGCAUGCAUUGGGCAGAAUCUCCUACAUGCCUUUCAGCUGAGGAUGGAGCUAUCAAAUGACACUGCUCUUUUUGGCUUCCAGCCACAUCAUCGCCGAUGGUCUGCUACGAUGGCACCUGCAUGAUCUCCAGCACCGCCAUGAAUUUGUGCAAGUCUGGCACUUCACCUUCUGUCUGCACCAUCUCCUGGCUAUUGUAUAUGUGCUUCUCUUGCAGGAUGACAUUGACAUGAGCUGCUGGGCUCCUCAGUGGUGCCCCCUACUAACUUUCUCCCCACAUCUGAGGGUGGCUGAUACCUGAAUGAUGUGACUAGCACUUGUUCUGACAACGUUAGGGCACACAGUCAGCUGAGCUUAUGUGCAUGUUCCUGUGUACAGAAUUGGAGAACUGUCACCCAGGUGCCGCUUGCCACACAACUUCCCAGAUCGUAUAAAGACAAUG